CAGACAGCAGCAUCUGCAGGCAUGGGGAAUGUUCUGUCCUUUCUAGAUGUUGAAAUGGCUAUCCAGAUAGACAGACAGCGAACAGCAAAUGAGAAUGGUUUUCAACUCUUCUUUAAUCCAGUUGAGUCAGAGCCCUGUCACUAUUGUUUUCCAACGAUGUAGCCCGAACAUCUAUUACAGGAUUACAGCCUUUUUUGUACAAAGGUUAUGAGUACGCGAAUACACAAUAAUAAUUAGAGGAAGAAAACAUACGCAGAAGAAAAGUCUACCUGUACCUACCUGUGCGGAGCGGAGGCUGGCUGUGGGCGGAGCAGGGACGGCUCAACGCGCACAUGGGUACGCUCGGUUUGAGUCCGAGGAACACCAGCUGGGUGGAGCUUGCAAUUCUCGACUGCUCGCUUAUUAAUAGAUUAUCCACGUAUUUGUGCCGCAAUACAGCAGGUGAAGGUCCAUCAUUUGCCUGUUCAACCACAAGGAGCUGAUCCUGCUGUUGUUUUUUUUGGAGGAACAACCUGCGUGCUCACCGCCAGGGUCAUUUUGUUAACAUUAACUGGAAUUCAUAUCUAAGCAGAAUAAAUCAUAUCAUCUUGGGAAUAAAUAUAUUGGGUGUGAGCCAGAUAGUCACAUCUAAACCAGGAGUUUAGGGUUAGAAGUUUCUCAGCAAAGUUAAAUAUCAACCUGCUUACUAGACAUAAUCUCUGGGUGUCUGGAGAAGAGUUUAUUGGCAGGGACUUCAAUAGCAGCCAUAUUUAAACUAUGGCUGUUGUUUUUGCUAUAGGCUUCAGACCUGAGGGGGAAAACAAAACAACAACAAAAACUUGGUAUGGAGCCCUGACCCCUUUUCAUUUUGAAUGCCUUGGGUGGCUAAAGAGGACAGAGUCUCUCAGACUGUGCUGAACAUGGUACAUACAUUUUAACAUGGUCCUGUUCCUGUAAUCACCUCACAAAUUAUUUUACACAGGUGAGGAAUGUUCACAGCUACUCCGCUAGGGGACGCUAUACAGUUGCCCAUAGAUUCAAGGGAAACCACUGACAGGAUACUUUGCUGAGUAAAGCUGGCACAUUCAGAGCCAUGUCAGCUUUCAAAGUGCCAGCAUCACAUUUUGUGUUAAACUGCUUUUUCAACGUUGAGAAUGAAAGAUGGCUUGUUAGUGAAAGGUGCAAGGCAUGUUCUGCCUUUUGUGACUCUUUCUACAUGUAUAGAGUCAUUUCUCACAAGUCCCCAGGCACAUGGCUUGAUGAAAAGUUGGCCUUUAAUGUGCAUGUUGAUAACCUCUUCAAAAAGCUAGGCCUAAACUGGGCUUCUUCUUUCAUUUAAAAUGAUCUCUACCUGCAUUGCAUUAUGGCCAUGUGAUUUAUAUGCAUGCAAUUUUACUGACAUUUCCUUAUUUAAAAAAGUAUAUUCUGCAUAUCACACUACAUUACAGUCUGUAACAAGCGCAGGUUGGUCAUGGAUCGAGCUAAGAACAACUCCCGUCUUUGAAUAUUUCUACAGAUCUUUUACAAACCGCUGUGAAGCACACUUGUUAUUUUACAUAAUUUCCUUGAUUUGAGGUGAACUGUGUUUAGAUAUCACUGUGGAUGCCUCCCUUCUUUCACUAUUUCCCUUGUGCUGUUUUUAUAUCCUGUUUUGUUUUGUGUUCUAUCAUGUGAAAUUGUUGUUUAUGUCAAACUAACUGUGCUGCCAUCUUGACCAAGACUCCCUGGAAGAGGAGGUUGUGUAUCACAGUGGGACCUUCCUGGCCAAAU